AUGACGGCGGCGGUGCUGGCUGUCUUACAAAUGGUGGCAUCACCGAUCCUAAAGAAGCUCCUCGCUGAUACUUCGACCUACCUUGGGGUCGACAUGGCGCGUGAGCUCCAUGACCUUGAAACCACCAUCAUGCCACAGUUCGAGCUGAUGAUUGAAGCAGCUGACAAGGGCAACAAAAGAACUAAGCUGGACAGAUGGAUCCAAGACCUCAAACAAGCCUUCUUCAAGGCAGAAGACUUGCUGGAUGAUCAUGAGUACAGCCGCCUUGAGCGCAAAUCAAAGAGCAGGAAGGAUCCCUUGCCACCGCAUUCCUCCACCGGCAGCACUAUUCUGAAGCCUCUCCAUGCUGUGUCCAAUCGGUUGUCCAAUCUGUCCUCCAACAAUAGGAAGCUAAUUCGCCAGCUGAAUGAACUGAAGGCCAUUCUGGCGAAAGGCAAGGAAUUACGUGAUCUUCUUUGCUUAUCAGCUGGUAACACUGCAGAGGACCCUGUUGUACAAGCAGCCGUUGUUCCUCUGGUCACAUCAAUUCCACCUUCAAAAGUAAUAGGUCGUGACAAGGAUCGCGACAAUAUAAUUGACCUUCUUACAAAGCCGGUUGGUGUUGAGGCUGAUUCAGCUAUACAUUCGGGGUUGGCUAUUGUUGGAGCAGGAGGCAUGGGGAAAUCCACCUUGGCACAAUAUGUUUACAAUGAUGAGAGGAUAAAAAAACAUUUUGAUGCCAGGAUGUGGGUGUGCAUCUCACGCAGACUUGAUGUCAAACGUCAUACACGGGAGAUUAUUGAAUCUGCGGUAAAAGGCGGAUGCCCACAUGUUGAGAAUCUUGAUACUCUCCAGUGCAAAUUAAGGGACAUAUUGCAAGACUCACAGAAAUUCCUGCUUGUCCUGGAUGAUGUCUGGUUUGGAAAAUCUGACGAGGUGGAAUGGGAGCAACUCCUGACUCCUUUAGUUUCUCAGCAGACUGGAAGCAAAGUUUUGAUAACUUCUCGUUCGAAUAUACUUCCAGCUUCUCUUUACUGCAACAAGAUUGUUCCAUUGGAGAACAUGGAAGAUGCCAAGUUCUUGGCACUCUUCCAAAACCAUGCCUUUUCUGGAGGAGAAAUCGGAGAACAUAGUUUGCGUCAGAAGCUAGAAGUGAUUGCAGAGAAGCUUGCUACCAGAUUGGGACGAUCUCCUUUGGCAGCAAAAACUGUGGGUUUACAGCUCAGCAGGAAAAAGGAUAUCAGUUCAUGGAAAGAUGCUCUAAAGAAGGACAACUUAAGUGAUCCCACGAAAGCUCUGUUGUGGAGUUAUGAUAAGUUAGAUCCACGUCUGCAGAGGUGCUUUCUUUAUUGCAGCUUAUAUCCAAAAGGCUAUAUAUAUGACAUGAGGGAGGUGGUUCACCUGUGGAUGGCAGAGGGAUUUAUUGAUUCGUGCAACGAGAACAGAAGAGUGGAAGAUACUGGAAAUGAUUGCUUCAGUGAGUUGGUCUCAGUUUCAUUCUUUCAACCAAUUGACCAUAGAUUACGUACAUACUAUGUUAUGCAUGAUCUUAUUCAUGAUUUGGCAGAGUCACUCUCUAAAGAGCACUGCUUCAGAUUAGAAGAUGACAAGGUGGCAGAAAUACCAUCUACUGUUCGACAUUUAUCUGUUCGUGUUGAGAGUAUGAUAUUGCGGAAUUCCAAGUUGCGUGUACUAUAUCUGUCAUUCUACAACAGUCGCAAGUUGCCAGAAUCAAUUGAUGAGCUGAAGCAUCUUAGGUAUUUAAACAUCAUCUACACGUCAAUUUCUGAAUUGCCAAGAUCAUUAUGUACUCUUUACCACUUACAGUUCCUUAAGUUCAGUGACAAAGUUGAAAGUUUGCCGGACAAACUAUGCAAUUUAAGUAAGCUGUGGUAUCUUGAAGGGCACAAUGUUAAUCUAGCACAUGAUCCGUACAGGAUUGGUCCGCCACAAAUCCCAAACAUAGGCAACCUAACUUUGCUCCAACAACUAAGUAAUUUUUCUGUGCAAAAGCAGAAGGGAUAUGAGUUGUGGCAGCUGAGGGACAUGAACGACCUUGGUGGCCUUUUAAAUGUUACAAAUCUUGAAAAUGUCACUGCAAAGGAUGAAGCUUUAGAGUUGAACCUACACCGUAAAACUCAUCUUAAAAGCUUAUGCCUUAACUGGAGUUAUAUGGAUAACAUAAAUGUAGAGGACAGCUCACACUUAGAGAUUCUGGAAGGUCUGACGCCACCGCCUCAACUUAAGGGCCUCACAAUCAAAGGUUAA
rnacentral:rRNA from 1 species